rnacentral:rRNA from 1 species
GGGAUUGCCUCAGUAACGGCGAGUGAAGCGGCAAGAGCUCAAAUUUGAAAGCUGGCUCCUUCGGGGUCCGCAUUGUAAUUUGCAGAGGAUGCUUCGGGAGUGGCCCCCAUCUAAGUGCCCUGGAACGGGCCGUCAUAGAGGGUGAGAAUCCCGUCUGGGAUGGGGUGUCCACGCCCGUGUGAAGCUCCUUCGACGAGUCGAGUUGUUUGGGAAUGCAGCUCUAAAUGGGUGGUAAAUUUCAUCUAAAGCUAAAUACUGGCCGGAGACCGAUAGCGCACAAGUAGAGUGAUCGAAAGAUGAAAAGCACUUUGAAAAGAGAGUUAAACAGCACGUGAAAUUGUUGAAAGGGAAGCGCUUGCGACCAGACUCGCCCACGGGGUUCAGCCGGCAUUCGUGCCGGUGUACUUCCCCGCGGGCGGGCCAGCGUCGGUUUGGGCGGCCGGUCAAAGGCCCUCGGAAUGUAACGCCCCCCGGGGCGUCUUAUAGCCGAGGGUGCCAUGCGGCCAGCCCGGACCGAGGAACGCGCUUCGGCUCGGACGCUGGCAUAAUGGUCGUAAGCGACCCGUCUUGAAACACGGACCAAGGAGUCUAACAUCUACGCGAGUGUUCGGGUGUCAAACCCGUGCGCGCAGUGAAAGCGAACGGAGGUGGGAACCCCUCGGGGUGCACCAUCGACCGAUCCUGAUGUCUUCGGAUGGAUUUGAGUAAGAGCGUAGCUGUUGGGACCCGAAAGAUGGUGAACUAUGCCUGAAUAGGGCGAAGCCAGAGGAAACUCUGGUGGAGGCUCGCAGCGGUUCUGACGUGCAAAUCGAUCGUCAAAUUUGGGUAUAGGGGCGAAAGACUAAUCGAACCAUCUAGUAGCUGGUUCCUGCCGAU